UUUCUACAAUUCCGCCACCGUU
rnacentral:rRNA from 1 species